rnacentral:rRNA from 1 species
UUUAUUGGAGAGUUUGAUCCUGGCUCAGGAUGAACGCUGGCGGCGUGCCUAAUACAUGCAAGUCGAGCGAAUGGAUUGAGAGCUUGCUCUCAAGAAGUUAGCGGCGGACGGGUGAGUAACACGUGGGUAACCUGCCCAUAAGACUGGGAUAACUCCGGGAAACCGGGGCUAAUACCGGAUAACAUUUUGAACUGCAUGGUUCGAAAUUGAAAGGCGGCUUCGGCUGUCGCUUAUGGAUGGACCCGCGUCGCAUUAGCUAGUUGGUGAGGUGACGGCUCACCAAGGCAACGAUGCGUAGCCGACCUGAGAGGGUGAUCGGCCACACUGGGACUGAGACACGGCCCAGACUCCUACGGGAGGCAGCAGUAGGGAAUCUUCCGCAAUGGACGAAAGUCUGACGGAGCAACGCCGCGUGAGUGAUGAAGGCUUUCGGGUCGUAAAACUCUGUUGUUAGGGAAGAACAAGUGCUAGUUGAAUAAGCUGGCACCUU